rnacentral:rRNA from 1 species
UACGGGGGGGGCAAGCGCUGUUCGGAAUUACUGGGCGUAAAGGGCUCGUAGGCUGCCAACUAAGUCAGACGUGAAAUCCCUCAGCUUAACUGGUGAACUGCGUCUGAUACUGGAUGGCUUGAGUUUGGGAGAGGGAUGCGGAAUUCCAGGUGUAGCGGUGAAAUGCGUAGAUAUCUGGAGGAACACCGGUGGCGAAGGCGGCAUCCUGGACCAACACUGACACUGAGGAGCGAAAGCCAGGGGAGCAAACGGG